UACGGGGGGGGCAAGCGUUGUUCGGAAUUACUGGGCGUAAAGGGUUUGUAGGUGGCUUGUUAAGUCAGACGUGAAAUCCCUCAGCUUAACUGGGGAACUGCGUCUGAUACUGGCGAGCUUGAGUGCAGGAGAGGAACGCGGAAUUCCAGGUGUAGCGGUGAAGUGCGUAGAUAUCUGGAGGAACACCGGUGGCGAAGGCGGCGUUCUGGACUGCAACUGACACUGAGAAACGAAAGCCAGGGUAGCAAACGGG
rnacentral:rRNA from 1 species